CAAAACCGCAAAAACACCCCAAAGGAAACAAAAAACAAAGUAAAAAAAAAAUCAUUCUUAGGCUAAAAUUAAAAGUUGUCGUAUUUAUAAACGACAUUUACAGCGAUACACAGAACCGUAACGUUAUUAUAUUUCCUUUUCUUUAUCAAACUUUUUUUUUUUGUGACGUCAGAAAACCUGAGCAGGUAGCUCUGCACACCUGCCUCUUAUUAACAGCCUGUCUGUCGUUGCCUGCUUUUCAGUUUGGUAACUACUCGGAAAAGAAGGAAAAUGUAAGGAAAUUCAUAUUCAGAGCGAGUUUAAAAACCAAAACGUAGCCUAAUUAUUUUAUUUAAUAUGUAUUUUAAUGUUUUCAGGAACUCGUUAGAAUACUCCUUUAUAUUUUUUAUAUUAGUGCCUCAUUCGUUUGGAAGAUGCUACGACAUGCUAUUCUCACUUUGUUGGCUGGACACGGAAGACGCUUUAAAUGGGUAAAAAAAAAGAAAAAAGAAAAAAAGCUCCUCUCACCAGAAAUGUACCUGUAGUAAAACCAGCUGCUGAAAUACUCAUGACGCAAAAAAAGUAACUGUCGGCCAGCGCGCUCGUGCUCCCAUGCAGUAUUUUGUCACGAGCUUUUCUCCCCAACUAUAUUCCCUAAAUUAAAAUAUCACAAAAUAACGAGGAGCGGAAUUUCGGUAGCGAAUAAAA